rnacentral:lncRNA from 1 species
GGAAAUUAUAAGACCCUUGCAAUUUCUGAAGUGAUAGGUGUAUCUUUGUUAUGUAAACUUGGUAACUAAUGGUGGGCCUCUAUAUUGCUUCAAGAUGGGAGCUGUCACCAGAAAGAACAACCAUGUGAUUAGAAAGUUGGGACUUUAGGCCAGCCUGACCUGGUGGGAGUAGGAAGGUUUGAGUCCAGUCAUGUGGCUAAUGAUUUGAACAAUUAUGCCUGUGUAAUAACCCCUCAAUAAAAACUGUGGACACCAGAGCUCACUGGAGCUUUUUUUUUUUUUUUCUUUUGAGAUGCCGUCUUGCUCUCUCACCCAGGCUGGAGUACAUGAGCUGUGAUUGUGCCACCUCAGUCCAGCCUGGUGACAGAGCAAGAUGCUGUCUCAAAAAAAAAAGCUAUAGUUAUAAAUGUAGUACUUUCCUGAGUUGUGUAAAUCUCUCUAGCAAAUUUCUGAACUUGAGGGAGUCAUGGAAACCUCUGAAUUUAUGGCUAGUUGGUCAGAGUGCAGGUAGUCUGGAGACUCCUGAAGUCCAGCUGGUUUCUAAAGUAAAGGCAAUUUAGUUUGGGAUCAUACCCUUUAACUUGUAGGGUCUACACUAACUCGGGAUAGUUAGUGCCAGAAUUGAAUUACAAUAUACACAGUUAUGGUUGAAACAGAAUGGUGGUACCUUCAAUUAAUGAACCAAUGUAAAUCCUUUAUUUUAAAAUAAAGUCUAUAAUUUACACUGUGGCUCACUAUAUUGUACAGUUUCAUGAGUUUUGACAAAUUCAUAAUAUCAUCUAUCUGUGAUUACAGUGGUAAUGGUAGAUACACCAUUCAAGCAGAAUGUUUUCAUUGCUAGAAAAGUCAUCUGUGCUCCAUUCAUUCAUUCCUCCUUCCUCACCCCUGAACCCUUGGCAACCAUUCAUCUUUUCUGUUUUUGUAAGUUUGCCAUUUUCAGACUGUCAUGUAGUUGGAGUUAUAUAGUAUGUAGUCUCUUCAGAUGGCUUCUUUCACUUAUCUGUGUUAGUUCAAGCUUCCUGUAUGUUCUAUGGUUUGAUAGUUCAUGUAUUUUUAUUCCUGAAUAAUAUCCCAAUGAGUGGACUUAAUACACUUUAUCCAUACCUAUUGAAAGGCAUCUUGGUUGCUUCCAAGUUUUCACAGUUAAGAAAUAAAACUUCUAUAAACAUUUGCAUGCAGGUUUUUGUGUGGACAUUGGUUCUCAAAUCAGAAUGCAAUUGCUGGAUCAUACAGUAAGACUAAGUUCAACUUUGUGAGAAAUUGCCAAACUAUCUUCCAAAGUUACUGCAUCAUUUUGUAUUCCCAGCAACACUGAAUGAGAGAUCCUGUUGCCCCAUGUCUUUGCCAGCAUUUGGUGUUGUGUUUUGAAUUUAGCCAUUCUAAUAAGUGUAUGGUAUGGUAGUUCAUUGUUUUAAUUUGCAGUUCCCUAAUAAUAUGUGGUAUUGAGCCUCUUAACAUAUGCUUGUUUUUCAUAUGUAUAUCUUCUUUGACAAGGUGUCUACUCAGUUCACUGGCCCACAUUUUAAUCAGAUUGUUUUCUUAAUGUGGAGUUUGAGUUCUAUGUAUAUUUUGGAUAACAUCCUGAUUUCAGAUACGUCUUUUGCAAAUAUUUUCUCUCAGUAUGUGACUUGUCUUUUCAUUAACAAUGUCUUUUUCAGAGCAGAAGUUUUAAUGAUGUCCAACUUACCAGUUUAUUUUUUUCUUGGAUAGUUCUUUUGGUGUUGAAUCUAAGAAGUCAUCAUCAAACCCAAGUCACCUAGAUGUUUUUCUGUGUUAUCUUGUAAAAUGUUUAUAGUUUUAUGUUUUAUAUUUAGGUGUAUAAUCCAUUUUGAGUUAAUUAUGUAUAAAUGUAAUUUUGUGUGAAUUUUGUUUUACAUUUUAAAAAUUAUAAAAUAUUUAGAACAUACAAUUAGAUAUAAACACUGAUAUAAGGACCUUUAUCUAAAGUACUUACCAAAUGGCUUUAUCAAGUCUUAUUUUAGGGAGGCUAAGGCAGUGGGUCGCUUGAGCCCAGGAGCUUUAGACCAGCCUGGGCAACGUGACAAAACCCCAUAUCUACAAAAAAACUAGCUGGGUGUGGUGGCGUUUGCUUGUAGUCCCAGCUACUCAGGAGUCUGAGAUGGUAGGAUCACCUGAGCCCAGGAGGUUGAGGCUGCAGUGAGGCAUGAUUGCAGUACCGUGCUCAAGCAUGGGCGACCUAAUGAGACCAUCUCAAAAAAAAAUAAAAAAGUCUUAACAUUUUACCUUAUUAAUCUACAGAUUGGAAAUGCAGUUGAGACCCUUGUGAAUUCCUCCUUAUCUCAUCCCUCUCCCCUUCUCAAAAAUAACCAAUUUAUAAAUUUUGAAAUUUCGUCUUUACAUGUAUUUCUGCAACUGAUUUCAAAAUUCAGCAUUGUUUUUGAGAUUUAGAAGACUUUUUUUUUACUGUAAGGAAAAAUUUUAAUUUAAAGCAAUUUAAUGUUAAAGAAUCAAUUUACUAUAAGUGUUAAUUUUAUCGUGGUUUCUUACAUUAGCCUAGAUAGAAAUGCGUGGUUUUCUGGAAUUUACUAUGAUUUAGUUCUGACCUGAAGGUUAAGUUUUUCAAUCCUUUAAAGACAUAUAUUUAAAUUUUAUUGUGGGAUUCAUUUUGUAGAGGCUUACUAAAUUGGUUCUAAAUAGCUAUAUAUAUAUAUAUGUAUUUUUUUUAAGAUUUUUCAUGUGGUGUGUGUUUUUUAGAAUGUAUGUACAAUUGAGAUUAGAUUUGUUAAUAAGAUGUUCCAUAGGUAGUCUGUUAAGCAUACUCAACAGAAGCUAUUGUAGAAAGACUUAAUUUUUUUUUUUUUUUUUGAGACAGAGUCUUGCUCUGUCGCCCAGGCUAGGGUGCAGUGGCCGGAUCUCAGCUCACUGCAAGCUCCGCCUCCCGGUUUUAGACCAUUCUCCUGCCUCAGCCUCCCGAGUAGCUGGGACUACAGGCUCACCUCGCCCUGGCUAGUUUUUUGUAUUUUUUAGUAGAGACGGGGUUUCACCAUGUUAGCCAGGAUGGUCUCGAUCUCCUGACCUCGUGAUCCGCCCGUCUCGGCCUCCCAAAGUGCUGGGAUUACAGGCUUGAGCCACCGCACCCGGCCGAAAGACUUAAUUUUUAAAAAAUGUGCUGUUAGUUGGAGAGUGUGUCUUUUAUAGAUUUCUUUCGGGGGCUCUUUUAAAGUCACAGAUUUUCUUUAAGCAUCAGUUUCUGAGAGCACCAUUUAUAGAUUUAAUCAGAUAAUCUGUGCAAUUCAAGGUGGAGGUAAAGCCAUAGCUUCCUCUCUCAGCAAGAGGAAAGGACUUGAUUUUGCCUGAGAUGGGAUGAGUUGAAUCUAAUUAUUUAUGCUGAUGAAUGCAGCAAGUUUCAUCCAGUAAAAGCGGAAGCUGUCAGAUGUUUGCAGAAUCCUCUGUGGCCUAAAUUAAAUCUGAACCAUACAGGAUUGCAGUCUUUAGAGGAGGCUACUCCCAUUGUCUGCUAUAUUAAUUGUGCAUGCUAAUCUGUCACUGCUGAUUUGAUUAUCAUUGCUUAUUUAUCCUUUCAUUGCUAUACAGUUUGAGUCCAAUAGCUAAAAAAGCUCAAAUUUUUACUGCUUUACACAUUUGAAAAAUAAUGACCUCUUUUUACCUCAAGAUAGUUUAUUAUAGGUUCCAGAAAGUGGUGUGAUGGUACUUCCAGUCCAGAUUGUUUUUUUCUAUCAGCACCCCAAAUUAUUGACAGAUUCAGCUGUAAUUUAAUGAGAACAGACUAAUAUGCCAAGAGAAUUGAUUUUUUUCUUAAGUCCUUGCUCUUCUUACUUAGCUCUAUUGCAUGAAAUGCUAAAGUAGCUUUUCCGCCUCUGUCUUCCUCAAGGAUGAAAUGUGUUCCAGAUUUUGUCUCCCCAUCUCUUCUUCUAGUGACACUAUGUUCAUAACUGUGCUAUAAUAAUAAAGGGUUACCGGCAAAUGACUUUUUCAGUGUUAAUUUUUUGCAUAUGCCAUGGUUUUAGAUUUCAUCUCAUUCAUCGGAAUUAAUCCGUGGUAAAGGUUUUGUAGCAUAUCUCUGAGGUAAGUGAAAGUUAAAAAUUCUGUUGGUGUGGAAUCUCUGCCAGACUAUGUCUUAUCUUCUGUUUGGUAUUUUGUGUUCAGGAUCUUUAUAUGCCAGGAUGAUGAAUUCAGAUUAAUCUCUGGAUGAUGCUACAGACCUAUUAAUUUCAGAGAAAUCAUCAAAUUCUUAUUUUGAUCAUGUAGUUACUUUACAUUAUUAAUUAUAAUCUUCAACAAUUAUUUCUUGAUUUUUAAAAUGAAUAUUCACUAAUGGUUUCUCCUCUCAAAUAAAUGAAAUACCAUUCCUGGCACCUUUCAAAAUAAACUGUAUUAAUUUUGUCUUGGCAUACUUAGAACAUUUUUUUUUUCCCCAGUGGAGCUUUCAUGUCUGUAUUAUCUUGUCUUGGUUGAGUUUAUUUGGACUUCUUUUACUCUUCUACAUGCUUCUCAAACUUCAUGGGCACAGGUAGGAUAUAAUCAUGCUUCUUACGGUUGGCAUCUUGAGGGCUAGUCCCGCAUCUUGAUUGGUUACUUUGUUGUCUUUUUUCUCAUUUUCCUAUCUUUACUCCUUCUGUUUGCUCUAUAAACACCUACUAUAAUCUAGUGAAUUUAUGUCUUUGGAUAUUUGUGUAUCUUUGGAAAAUAUUAUAUAGUGUUUCGUACAUAUACAUAUAGGUUUGUAAUUUUCACAAAUGGCCUUAGUCUGUACAUCCUAUUUUGUUCUUUUUUUUUUUUUCAUUUAGCCCUAUAUUUAAACAAUCUAUUUUUGUUGCUAUAUGCAAUUCUGGUUCAUCACUUCUGACUGCUAUACAGUAUUAUAUCAUGUGCACACUCUUAUCCAUGUAUACUAUGUAUUUAUCUUAUUUAUACAUUCUUCUGAUGGCACUUGGAUGUAUUCAACUCCAUGUGCCAUUAAUAAUGUUGCAGUGAUAAUCUUCAUUUUGUUUUAUAGAGGUAUAAUCAAGAAUGUGAUUGAUUGGUUGUUGGAUGUCCAUUAUUAAGUUCACUAAGUAUUGCCAGAUUGCUCUGUAGAAUGACUAGAUAGUUUUUACUGCUUUGAGCGGUGCACGAGGAUUCACAGACUAUUUUUCAUGUGGGCAACAAGCAACCAAAAUGGACUGAAGAGUUGCUUUUAUAGACAUGAUUAGCAAACUGCCAAAUUAUUUAUGUGUGAAUAAUAUAAAACCAAAGUAGGUUACUAUUAGCCACCUCACUCAGAAGGGACUCCUGAGUGGAAAAGCUGCCUUGGUUCCUAGUAAAGGUCUCUAUAAUGAGAGCUUUUUGGUGAGAGAAUAUGAGGGUGAGCCCUCAUUGCAAGUAACUCUGCCUACUAGCCAUGUGGACAGUGUAGUUCUGCAAGAUGUAAAUGAUUAGAUUCUUUGUGCCCAUUGUGAUUCUUGGAAUGCAAACAUGAAUGAGGCUGAUUCUCUGCCCCUGAAGCUCUAUAGUUGUAGAACAAGUCGGUGCAGGACUUGUGCUCAUCUGUCUUUUGGAGAGACCCUUUUGCUUCAUCUCAGAGAAGCUGGCACUCACUGUUUAGUCUUUCAUAGCAGUCUUUUAAUGACACUGUUAUUCUUGUUAUCUUACCUUCAAAAAUUAAGACACAGAGAUACCUGGGCCUAUUAACUCUGACCAUUUGGAGUCCUACUAGUCCAUCAUUAUAUUUAACCUGGUAAAAGAUUUCCCGGAAAGAGAUAGGUGUUCUUAUUGUGGCAUUUGUUUCCUGAAGUGCAAUGAUUGGGGUGGGAGGGAUGGCAUGUUGUUAAGUCCCUUUGACUUGGUAAAAUAGAGAUUGGAAACUAUUACCUAGAAACAUGGAUUAAAUACAAGUAGUGAGAGGGCUGUGUACAGUGACUCACCCCUGUAUCUGAGCACUUCGGGAGGCUGCAGUGGGAGGAUUAUUUGAGGUCAGUAGUUUGAGACCAGUCAGGGCAACAUAGCAAGACCCUGUCUCUACAAUAGCAACAAAAAAUUAGCUGCACGUAGUAGUGCACGCCUGUAGUCCUAGAUACUCAGGAGGCUGUGUCAGGAGGUUCGCUUAAGCCCAGACUUCAUGGCUGCAGUGAGCUACAGUCAUUCCACUGCGAUCCAACCUGGACAACGAGCCAGACCCUAUCUCUUGAAAAAAAGUAGUAAGCAUCAACGUAAACGUAAUGUAUAAGAAUACAGGUAACAAUAUUGGGCAAAAUAGCAGAAAAAACAGUUUCCUAUCUUCACCCAUCUAAAUUUCCAUUAAAAAGACCAGUAGAUACAUAGAUGAAUGGGAAAAACACUGCAUGUGUAUCAGAAGCUAGAGCUUAAUGCCACGCAUGCCAGAAAACCCAGAAUAAUCCUUGUUAUGCAGCAUUGCUGAUGGGCCUGGAAUGAAAGAAGGUAAUUGAGGAGGAGCCCCUCAAGGAGAAUCUUUCUGAGAGAGAACUCUUAAGUUGGGAGGGACAGUAAACUUAAUGCAUGUUCCUACAAAGCACAGUGUUUAAAUUCCUCUCUUGGCUCUUUGACCAGAAGCAUUUGUGAACACUGUUUAUAGAUCUAGACUUUGCUUAUAGCACCUCCCUAGAAGGAACCUGUCCACAUAAGUGGCCUAGUCACUAAGUUCCCAGCUACCAACCCUCCUGCCUCAAAUCCUGUUCAGAUUGCUGGAUAGCUCAACUAGCAAUCUGUUGAGAUUUGUGUUCUCAAAAAGGUUUAGUUAUUAAACCUGGGGAAACUGGAUAUCAGUAAUAAAAAGGAAGCAAUCUGACAGGAUUCUGAAGGCACGAAAAUACAGUUGCCAAAUUAAAAUCUCUGGAUGCAGUGAAUACCAAAUUAGACACUGCAGAAAGAAGUCAAAAUGACAAAAUAAGACAAAAGGAAGAUAGGUCAGGAGAUAAAAUAUAUUGUACCAAUAGCAAGAAUAUCAGAAAGAGAGAGAUGGAGCACACAAAUUGUUAAAAAAAAAAAAAAAAAA